GUUAGGAAUAUUGGACAAUGGGCGAAAGCCUGAUCCAGCCAUGCCGCGUGAACGAUGAAGGCCUUCGGGUUGUAAAGUUCUUUAGCCGAUGAGUAUAAUGACUGUAGUCGGAAAAUAAGCCCCGGCUAACUUCGUGCCAGCAGCCGCGGUAAUACGAAGGUGGCGAGCGUUAUUCGGAAUCACUGGGCGUAAAGCGUGCGUAGGCGGUUUUGUAAGUUAGGAGUGAAAGCCCAGGGCUCAACCUUGGAAUUGCUCUUAAAACUGCAAGGCUCGAAUCUCAGAGAGGAUAGCGGAAUUUCCAUUGUAGCAGUGGAAUACGUAGAUAUUGAAACUAACACCAGUGGAGUAAGCGACUAUCUGCACGAGUACUGAAGCUGAGGCCCGAAGGCGUGGGGAUCAAACAGGAUUAGAUACCCCUGUAGUCC
rnacentral:rRNA from 1 species